rnacentral:hammerhead_ribozyme from 1 species
NNACUGCUGAGGAGUCCCACGACGGGACGAAACGGUCGUCCAGUGC